rnacentral:misc_RNA from 1 species
UCUUAGACUAUUUUGGGACAACAGACCUACGCCAAAUCUCAAUCAGAGCUGAAGACCUUAGUUUCUAAUUGAUAAGCAGGUGUGAAGAAUGCAGGCCAACAAAGGUACGUAGACAUGAUACUGCUGACAGUUGAUGCGCCGAUGAGCAUGUUCAUUACCACAAUUUGUAGUUGAAUGGCCUCCAAUGGAGAAGCUCCUCCCAUUAUAAGGCCAGUCAUUGCUCCAGGCAGCGAAAUCAGACCCACAGUUUUGGCGUUGUCCAGCACUGGAGAAAGAGCAAUGACCAGAGCCCUUUUCACUUGUUGAAGUGUGGCUUGGCGAGGAGUUGCACCAAGUGCCAAUGCUGUCUCUACCAGACUCAUUUGCACUUUGAUAUCAUCUCGAAGUCGUUUCAUUGUAACCCCAGUGACUGUCAUUGCAUUGCCAACCAUCAUUCCUGCAACAGGGAUGAUGUAUCUCGGAGUAAAGGGGAAAACAUUCAGAAUAACAAGCACGAACAUGGUCACCGCAGUUCCUGCCAGGAUAGAAGCUCCAGCCACAUACUUUCCUCGAGGAACAUGCUUGGCUCUUUGACCAGCUGUAUAACCUGCAACGGAGACCUACAGGGGAAUUUCAAAACAAUCUUAGGAACCCAUCAAGCUUUUGUUAUGGAAAUGGUAAGAAGCAGCUACCAUGAGUAAAUUUUCGAGGAAAAACGCAAGAAAAUUUCUGGGUCUUUGAGGGAUUUCUUGGUAGAACUAAGUAAUAAGAAAGUAACAGAAGACUACCAUCUGCUUUCCCUAAUUUUCUGUUCAGUCAUUACUGAUAACAUCAACAUCUAAGCCUUAAACUCAAACUAAUUGGUAUUGGCUAUAUGGAUUCUUUUCUCCAUUAAGCUGUAUUUGUUUUAGAUCAGUCAUUACUGAUCACUUAACAGAAAUCAUCCAUGGUCAACUCAACUAGGAACAAAUAAAACAGUGUAUCUUUCUGUUUUUCAUGUGGGCUAGGCUGGGGCAGAACAGAAUGUGUCCGUAUGAUGGAAUUCCGAGCUCAAUUCACAGCCUAAUCUGCAAGAUAUGGACAAGACAAUACAUACAAUCCGCAAACUUAUUUGAACCGCAACAGAUGAAUAGAUAGGCCAACACCAGUACUUUCUCUAAUUAAAUACAAAAAAAAAAGUAGCAGUAGAGAAAAAUUAUGAAUUCAAACAGAACUAUUUACUGCUGAGAAAAUUAGAAGGAUAUUAAAUAAAAACUUCAAUUCUCAAUCUUUUAAGUAAUGAUCCCCAGUAAAAACCAAUCUACCACCCCAAUCAGAUUCAAUAUACAUGUCUAUAAUUUCAUGUGAGUUCGUGGAAAGAGCAGGGACAAUAAAGUUAAAAUUCAACACUCUGUAUUCCCUUCACCAACAGAACAAAUAGACCUUUCAAUUGAAAAACAAAGCAAAGAAUCAACCAGGAAAAAAAAGGGGUUAACCAUGAAAAGGUAAGCGACAAUGAUCCAAACGCUACGGUCCUGACUGAAAAUGAACUGCAAAACAAACCCAAUAACAGAUAACUGAAGAAAAGCCCUAAAUAUGGAAUAAAUCAUCUCUCCCUCCAAACCCAACUUCUGUAUAAAGGAUAAAAGCACCGCCAUAAGCACCACUGCAAGGGCAGCCGCCGGCUUUAUCAUGCCCCUAAGAAACUCGAGAAGCCACUCAACAUCCAUUGAUGAAACUUGGAAACAACUGCCAAAUGCAGCAACUGACUCACAGACUGCAGACUAGUCCACACCCAGAGGGUUUUGUCUAGUAGGAAAAAAGGCUUGAGUUAACGACUUAACGGUAGGUUUUGGUGAUGGUUAGAUGAAGAAACGACCUUCCCCUAAUAGAUCAGAGGUAUCUUGUGAAGUUACUGUUUGAAGAAGACAAAGAGAAGAAAAAUUCAAGGGUGGGCAGGGCAUGUUUCUUGAUCAACA